GAGUUUGAUCCUGGCUCAGGAUGAACGCUGGCGGCGUGCUUAACACAUGCAAGUCGAGCGAAAAUAAUUGAGAGCUUGCUUUUGAUUAUUUUAGCGGCGGACGGGUGAGUAACGUGUGGGUAACCUGCCUUUUACUGUGGAAUAAUCGUUGGAAACGACGACUAAUACCGCAUACGGUUCUUGGAAGGCAUCUUCUAAGAAAGAAAGGAUUUAUUCGGUAAAAGAUGGGCCCGCAUCUGAUUAGCUAGUUGGUGAGAUAAUAGCCCACCAAGGCAACGAUCAGUAGCCGACCUGAGAGGGUGACCGGCCACAUUGGGACUGAGACACGGCCCAAACUCCUACGGGAGGCAGCAGUGGGGAAUAUUGCACAAUGGGCGAAAGCCUGAUGCAGCAACGCCGCGUGAAGGAAGACGGUUUUCGGAUUGUAAACUUCUAUCAAUAGGGAAGAAAGAAAUGACGGUACCUAAAUAAGAAGCCCCGGCUAACUACGUGCCAGCAGCCGCGGUAAUACGUAGGGGGCAAGCGUUAUCCGGAAUUACUGGGUGUAAAGGGAGAGUAGGCGGCAAGGUAAGCGAUAUGUGAAAGCCUUAGGCUUAACCAAAGGAUUGCAUAACGAACUAUCUAGCUAGAGUACAGGAGAGGAAAGCGGAAUUCCUAGUGUAGCGGUGAAAUGCGUAGAUAUUAGGAAGAACACCAGUGGCGAAGGCGGCUUUCUGGACUGAAACUGACG
rnacentral:rRNA from 1 species